CUGUGCCGUCUCCCAACUUCAGGGCAUGAGCUAGCAAAAGUGAGCUGCAUAUAAAAAAGAAAAAAAAAAAUCUUCCUUUACCAAAACCAAGCCUCAGGGGCUUCAGCUGUAAUGAAUGGGUAUUGAAAUCUAACACAGCUGUGCAUCUUCAUGGUUUGCCUUAAGUUGCCUUGGCCAAACCCAAAUUGUUCCCUUGCAAUUCCUAGAGAAAGAAGGCAGAGCAAAUGCUGCUGGAUGGAGAACUGGGAAGAGGCAAAGAGCCCCAGUUCCUGCAAGCUCAGAAGGGAAAACUGCAAAUGAAGGGAGUGAGAAAAUUCAAGAAAACUCACCUGCUCUGCCCAAAAAGGUUGAGGAAUCUGAAAAACAUUUUGCUUUCGGAGAACAAACAGAUGGGUUCCAGUCACUGCCCCGCCUUCCAGAAGUUCAGGGGCAGGGACGUGAGACCCACCCACCCCCCAGAGGCGUGCGGUGCUGGCAGCUGUGGCGGGUCAGUCAUCUCCGUGCCCUCCCCGCAGCUCCUUUGGCUCUCGUCAUCGCUUCUGCCCGCAGCGUGCAAGCUCCACAUCACCGCUGAGGUACAGAAAGCAGAAGUGACUGAGGUCAGCUGCGGAGCUCAGAGCAGGGAAGAGUGACCUGCUGAGGUAUUGAAAGUUUUUCUGUUUAUCCCGGUAGCAUCAUUGGUAUCUAUGUGGCAUGAGGUCUCUCAGCAGCAUCCUGUGCCACCUGUGUUACAGGAUACAUGUUUUAGCAGCACAAAUCACUCGCUGGCUCGCACCCUCUUCUCUCAAGUGCCACCCAGAGAAGAGGACAGGAUUGAGAGGCAGGUUUGCCCCGCUUCAAGGCCAGCUUCCUCACCAGUACCUUGCUGCUCUGGCGCUGGGCCGCGCUCCUUUGUCAGCUGUCCAAGCCGCUGCCCUGCCCGCCGAGAAGAGCAUCUCUCUCUUCACCUGUACCUGUCUGCCCUUCGCGGUAAGCAAGGAACUGGAAAGAGAUCUGGGAAGACGUUAAGGCUUGUCACAGGAAUGCAUGGAGCUACGACCAGCCCCAAAAAGCUGUUUGCACCACAAGAGGAAGCACGGGGAGGCCUUGAUGUGGGUAAAGGGAUGAUGAGCUGAAUUGCAAAUUGGUCUGAAGCACUCUGCUGUUGCAAUGCUGAAUUAGUCACCAGAACACAAGGGAGGAAAGGACAGCCUAAAAGCACCACCACCACGCGCUUCUGCCCAAUCCUGGAAAAGCCGUGUGUCACCAUCCCAAAGAAAACCAUGGGAGGAGAAAGGAUACGACCACGUCCAGGGAGAGGACGCCCAGGCUGCCGAUGAGCCAGGGCAGGUGGUGCAGGACAUAGUCUCCUUCACUUUGCCCCGGCUCGGGGUUCUUCAGCAGCACGCUGGCACCGUACAGCAAGUUCCCCAGCAUCACCAGGGCGAAGAGGGAGUAGGAGACGCCAGCGGUGGAUUUCCUCUGGUACUGGAAGGAGAGGCCAUGUUACAUGGGGAUGGGGAGAGGAGCUUGGGUGCAGCUCCGAAAUCUCCCCACCGCAGUGGCAUUAAUCACCCUCCCCUGGGAAGAGAGAAGAAGGGUGCUGAGGCACUGCCUUUUAGUUCCCCUUUUGCUUGUAAAUGAAGAAAAAAAAAUAAUAAAGACCAUGUUGAAAGUAUUGCUGCGUUCAAGGGAGGGGAGAGAAGUUAAUCAUGCUGCAGAGCGUAAAUACAGAAAGAUAAUCCCUUGUGACAUGGUGAGAGGCAGG